AGUUGUUAUGCGCCCUUUCACUUUUGAAAAUUGAAGACGCAGUUGUUGAAGACUGACUUUGAAAGAUAUUCCGUGGACAUUACUGAGUUAACAGAAGACUGAGGUGGAGGAACUUGAAGAACAGGGCUGCAGUCGACAGGUGUAGGCAAUUCAUUCAUUGAUAGAACACAAGACGCAGAUGAAUCUCCUGAAAGAACUGACAUCGCAGAGGAUGUAGAAGUGGAAGUACAGGUGGAUUUCUGUUAUAUGUUUUCAAGGACGCCUCGCUUCGAUGUCCCGACAUAAACAUGAUUUGGCGUGCUUGGAAACCGGCAUCACUCAUGGCUGUGAUGGCUGUGGCACGGAGGCAGUGUGGUGUGUAGGUCCUCAUGCAUUUUGACGAUUUACAUAUAUCGGCCAUGAAUCCUGUGAAUGACCUUUUUGCUAAAGGUUUAUCAGUGUACCACACUUCUUGCAGACCUGGAAGAGAGAGAGCAUCCUUAAAGCAUGAAUUAAAGAGAUACAGAUUGCCUUGCAUCCUGAAAGUUCUGCAUUUCAUUUUCGGAGAUAGAUUUGAAUCUCUUUGCUGGUGGGGGUGUAUGAACAGGCACACCAGGACAUGGCAUACCCUCCAUAUCUGAUACUUUCAGCUCUUUCUCCAUUUCAUUAGUUUCCUCAACACUCAGAGGUGCCAUAAAGGAAAGAUCUAGUGAUGCAAAUAUGUCAUCGUCUAGCAGAAGGUACAUUUCUGCGUCACCCAUAUCAAAGUUGCCAAAUUCAGCCAUUGUUUACAUUAGAGUGACCUGGGGUCAGUGUAGCAGACGAAAAUUAAGACAUACAUGAAUAAGACAUUGUUUUGCAGAAAUGUUUUAUUAUUGAUUGAGUCCACUGCUUGGAAUACAAAUAAAACGAUAAAUACAA